rnacentral:sRNA from 1 species
GGUGUAUUAUCUUCAGGCAUUCGUUAUUACAGACAGAAAAAAGAUAGACUCAUGCUUCAUGAUUUAAAGGCUCAGAAAGGUUCCAUCUUCAAGCUGAGAAUAUUUGCUGCAUGUCAUAUCCAUCAACAAUUAGUUCAUAUACCUUAAAGAAGAGGAAUCCCUUCUUGGCAAACAACUGGUAAAAACCAUACAAAACCGAUAAAAGGGUAUAAAACAUCGAUACAACAAAGCCCAAUUGUGUUGGGCCCCUCGACAAUGGGAGUUUGGUUUGAUCUGGUUCGGACGGGGGGCAGGAUUGGCUGCUCGGAUCUCUGUCUGCAGUCUGGACAGCUGCUGUCUUCGCACAUUCGUCCACAUGCAAUUUGCUGUUCUUUUGUGCAAUAAAAAAAGCCGCCGCACAAACAACAAUACAA